GGGCCGCUAGCUCAGUGGUAGAGCACCUGACUUUUAAUCAGGGUGUCACAGGUUCGAUCCCUGUGCGGCUCACCA
rnacentral:tRNA from 2 species